rnacentral:rRNA from 1 species
CGGAAGAGAUAAGUGCUGAAAGCAUCUAAGCACGAAACUUGCCCCGAGAUGAGUUCUCCCUGACUCCUUGAGAGUCCUGAAGGAACGUUGAAGACGACGACGUUGAUAGGCCGGAUGUGUAAGCGCAGCGAUGCGUUGAGCUAACCGGUACUAAUGAACCGUGAGGCUUAACCUUACAACGCCGAAGGUGUUU